rnacentral:rRNA from 1 species
UGCGUAGGUGGUUUCUUAAGUCAGAGGUGAAAGGCUACGGCUCAACCGUAGUAAGCCUUUGAAACUGGGAAACUUGAGUGCAGGAGAGGAGAGUGGAAUUCCUAGUGUAGCGGUGAAAUGCGUAGAUAUUAGGAGGAACACCAGUUGCGAAGGCGGCUCUCUGGACUGUAACUGACACUGAGGCACGAAAGUGUGGGGAGCAAACA